AUUGAACGCUGGCGGCAGGCCUAACACAUGCAAGUCGAACGGUAGCACAGAGAGCUUGCUCUCGGGUGACGAGUGGCGGACGGGUGAGUAAUGUCUGGGAAACUGCCCGAUGGAGGGGGAUAACUCCUGGAAACGGUAGCUAAUACCGCAUAACGUCGCAAGACCAAAGUGGGGGACCUUCGGGCCUCACACCAUCGGAUGUGCCCAGAUGGGAUUAGCUAGCAGGUGGGGUAAUGGCUCACCUAGGCGACGAUCCCUAGCUGGUCUGAGAGGAUGACCAGCCACACUGGAACUGAGACACGGUCCAGACUCCUACGGGAGGCAGCAGUGGGGAAUAUUGCACAAUGGGCGCAAGCCUGAUGCAGCCAUGCCGCGUGUAUGAAGAAGGCCUUCGGGUUGUAAAGUACUUUCAGCGGGGAGGAAGGCGGUGAAGUUAAUAGCUUCACCGAUUGACGUUACCCGCAGAAGAAGCACCGGCUAACUCCGUGCCAGCCGCCGCCGUAA
rnacentral:rRNA from 1 species